UACAGAGGGGGCAAGCGUUAUUCGGAAUUAUUGGGCGUAAAGGGCGCGUAGGCGGCUUGGCAAGUGGAUGGUGAAAUCCCCGGGCUCAACCUGGGAACUGCAUUUGUGACUGCAUCGCUGGAGUGCGGCAGAGGGGGAUGGAAUUCCGCGUGUAGCAGUGAAAUGCGCAGAUAUCAGGAAGAACACCCGUGGCGAAGGCGGCUCUCUGGGACGGUACUGACGCUGAGGAGCGAAAGCGUGGGGAGCAAACAGG
rnacentral:rRNA from 1 species